UAAAAGGUGGCUGAAAAUAGGUGGUAGAUUGUAAAUCUAAUUAUGGGUUAGACCCUCUUUUAA
rnacentral:tRNA from 1 species